AGCCCUGGCCUGGGCCCAC
rnacentral:misc_RNA from 1 species